UACUACUCUUCCCCACCCAUGCAAGGAAUAGCACUUCUAUUCAUUCUAUAUCUCUUCUCACUCUUGCUCUUUCACCGUUGAAAUGGACAUAUUUCCAUCUGCUUUGAUACUUUUUGAGAACCAGUUUUUGGUUAUCUUCUUGGCCCAACAUCUGGAAGGCUCUUGCAACUCUUCUAACUGUAUCUUCAUCUGGUUUUACCCCCAACUCCUCCAUGUCAGCAAACACCUCAACUAUCUUGUCUGGCACAUGAUGAUGAUCAUAUAAUGAAAUCAUCCUGGAGAAGAGCCGUUUCGAAACAGACCGUGUGCUUGUAUGCAAAAUCAUAUUCCAUAACGUUUCUGCUUCAUCUACCCUGUUGUCCAUAUCAAA
rnacentral:misc_RNA from 1 species